GGAGACGGUGGCCCGGAAGGGACAGGAAGUGCAGAGGAACACCUCCAUCCUUGACACAUGAUUUAAGGAGGGAAGGUUGUCCAGCGAGGAUAUGAACUAACUUCACAAUCACCCCCCCCCCCCAACUAGUAUGUAAUGAUGUCAUGUCAAACCUGUACAUGUCUGUAUGUAUGGCCGUUUCCCUCAGUGAAGUUGUACAUCUGAUCUGAUACUGUGUGAGGGGCUCAUUGGUGUUUAUCCAUAAGUAGGAACAGUAGUUCUUCCUGAACAUGAAAAGUCCUGCGCCCAUAAACAACUUAAGCAAACCUUUUAGAGUAACUGUGAAAGUAGUAGCACCAACGUCCUGUUUGUCCUGCAUGGAGCACUUUAAUGUUCCCCUUCUCUUAGUUUUUCUGUUCCGCCAUUUAUUUCAAAGUGACUUUGAAUAGCGCUUUUAUCUGAAUUAUACUCAUCCACACACUACAUCCAAUGAUAUUCCGGUAUCAAAUAUACAAAUAUUACCUGUAGAUAUGUUCAUAUUAAUCAAUGUCAUCAAGUGUCAUUAUGAGACAUUUAAAAAUGUACAUGUAUCUUAAUAACAUUAAGUUGAUUAAAUAGCCUAAUGAUAUCAAUGUAAGGGGGAGGGUGUAAUUCAUAAGACGGUGUCAAGGCCAAUUUACCACCUGUUUCUUCUAAGAAAUGGAAAUAAUGGAAGUAAUCAACUACAUUGUAUUUUUUUUUGUAUAACUUGUUAAUAUCCGAGUAUGAAACAUGCAACUCUCUUUAAUAUUUUUUUAUCCAAUCUGUAAAAAAAAAAAAAGGUGUGGGGUAAAGAAUGGUGGUUAAUUGA